CUCCAUCAUCAAACUGAGACACUGGUUCACUACCGACUCAGAGAAUGAUGUAUUUUACUGACUCAUAUUACUCCAUGCAGCCCCUAUGUUUCUCUACAGGUCUCUCUGAUCCAAGCACUGACCUGGUCCAACUCUGCUUAGUUUCUGAAGACUGACAAGACUGAAGUGGCAUAGGUGCAGUUUUCCUUUUUGCAAAAAUGAAGUUGUUAAAUAAGCAUAGUUGUCACAAUAACAAAUAAAUUUGAAAGACUAGGUAUUACGUUCAAAUCAGAAUAUAUUUAUUGAAGAUGAAGGGGGUUUUAGAAUUUUAGAUGUUAACUAACACAGUAUUAUUCCCUCUUGUGGUUCUUUAACACAAGCAAGAACAUGAAAAACCAUGUGCCACAAAUUCUGACAAAGCACUUCAGGUAAAUUACAUAAGCAGUGAAGACAACUAUUUAAGAAACCAAAACCAAAGUCAAACAGACAUGCUUCACUGAAAUGAACAUAAAGCUUCCAAUGAUGGAAGUGAGAUAAACAACUACUGAACAAAAUCAAUUCAGUACCUCUCAGAGAUUCAGUAAAACAAAUUUCAACAAGGAGCAGUAACACCAACAUGCAAAACAGAGAUGGCAGCUGUGAAGUGACUGGAAUCCUGAAAGAGAUUAAGCAGUGGUUUCCCCCAUGCCCUUGGACCUUCACCGUGCUGCUGGAAUGGAGACACCAACCAUCUAUAACAGUGGUUCUCAAACUUCUGUGCUGGUGACCCCUUUCACAUAGCAAGCCUCUGAGUGCGACCCCCCCCAUUAAAAAACACAUUUUUAUAUAUUAUAAAUGCUGGAAGCAAAGAGGUGUUUUGGGUGGAGGCUGACAGCUUGCAACCUCCCAUGUAAUAGCCCUGCAACCCCGAGGGGUCCCAACCCCCCGUUUGAGAACACCUGAUUCUAUAAGGAUAUUAAUGAAACAUCCACAGUGCUAGAGAAUAAGGAGUAAAUAAAUAAUAUUGCCUGCUAGAAGCUGAUAGUUUUUGUACAGCCAAUGUAGUUAGGCACCAAAGGAACCAAAAAUAAAGCUUAGAAUAUUGA